rnacentral:rRNA from 1 species
UACGUAGGUGGCAAGCGUUGUCCGGAUUUACUGGGCGUAAAGGGCGUGCAGGCGGUUUGUCUAGUCUAGGGUGAAAGCUCCCGGCUUAACUGGGAGAGGUCCUUGGAUACUGGCAAACUUGAGGGAGGCAGAGGAAAGUGGAAUUCCCGGUGUAGUGGUGAUAUGCGUAGAUAUCGGGGAGGAACACCAGUGGCGAAGGCGGCUUUCUGGGCCUUACCUGACGCUGAGACGGCGAAAGCGUGGGGAGCGAACCGG